rnacentral:lncRNA from 12 species
AUGUUUUGUUCAAGUGAAUGUUUUGGGCCUUCGAGUAAAUGUUUCAGCUCAAAUGAGAAAGAGUUUGUGAAUUGCUGGCUUCUGACUCGUGAGUCACGCUCUCUGCUUGAGUUUGUGUCUUCAUGUUUGGCUUCGGUCCUGCUGGAGAGCGUGAAGCAGACCCACCCGCUCACACACACACACACACACACACACACACACUCACAGCCCUCCUCCUCCAGAUACAGGACACUUUUGUUCUGUGUUUUCAUCAGGAGUGCAGUGAACGAGAGGCAGUGUGACAGAAGAGACGCUUCAGAGCUCAAGUCAAAGGUCUGUCAUGGGCCGCUGGGUGAUGCCUGUGGCUGUUCUGAUGCUCCUCAUUGGUCAGAUUUGUGCAGCGGGUGGAGGACACUCUUCAGAAGCUGGAGGCUGAGCUGGCUCUUCUGCUGGACGCUGUUGAGGCCCCUGAGUGGAGCCCCCUGCUGGACAAACCACUUAUCGACAUACUGGACGAGCCGCCGGGUGAAGUAUGAUCCUGCCGUUUCUUCAUGAGAUCGCACACAACAAUAAAUGGAUAGAGCAGCUCAUAAAGUUCCUGUCCUAAUAAUUCAAAACAGGGUUUUUUUUUUUUUUAAGCUUUUCUUAUGAAAAUGAAACGACUCAUUUAUACUACUUUUCUGUGUGUCAGUGUUCUUCUUGUUUGUUUGGAACUGUAUUACAGAUGAUUUGAGGUGAUGAUCAAUCACUGCAUGCAUGUGCAUAUACAACAUGUUUACAAGUACAUACAGUGAACACUUUCUCUCUUUUCUUUCCUGAAUCCAGGAAACCUGUUGUUUGUUCAGACUCCCAGCAUGCAUUGCUCUUUUACUAUUGCUUCUGUUGUUAGCUUUAGUAACUUGUUCAGAGUUUGUUUUAAUGUACUGCAUCUCACUCAUUGAGAAAAUAUAAUUAUUUUUCACAUUUUGAUCUGACUGAUUCAUGUUGUGAACAUGCUGUGAUGUGGAGUCUUAAUAAACUAAAUAAAAAAUUUAAUUAAUCUUAAAAGUUUAAUUAAUCUUAUUUUAAAUUUUCAUCUUGAGGCCUGUGGUGUAUAGAAGACUGAACGCAAUGUGAAAAAAAAAAAAAAUCAAGGUCAAAAACUUUAAAGAGCGAAAAAGAAUAAAAUUUAAAGAGAAACCGGUUUAUGAAGAGAAAGGUUUUUUUUUUUUUUUUUUUUUUUUUUUUGAAGGAAGAAAAUGCUUUUUAAAGGUAGAAUUUUUUUUUUAGAAAGAAAAAAGGUUUUGAAGACAAAAAAAAAAAAAAAUCUUAGGAUUUCAUCAGGUUUUAAGACACUAUUAUGAAGCUCUAAGACAUAUUUUUCUCAUGUUGUCCUUCAGGGCUUCUGCACUAUUGGAAACUACUAGUGAAGAAGUGAAAAUUGCACAUUCUAAACUCACAAAAUAAAUUGAAAACAUAUUACGAAUAUGCUACACUGUGGAACUUUUACAAAAAAAAGUCAGACUUUUUCUCUUGUCAAGGUCUUUGAUUUCUUCAAAAGACAAAUUUUACUGAUUUGUGUUCAAGAAGUACUUUUAAGAAAGAUGACAACCACAGCAAAGAGAGAAUUUUGACCAGGAGAAAAAUCAAACAAUGACAAAAGAAUGAAAAAAUAAAUAAAAAAAAUGUUGCUCUCAUACUAUCGUUUCAGUUUGUUCUGAUGUCAUGUUGAAGAACAAAGCGCUUCAGCAUCUAAAGCUGGAAUGACUUCUGGAGGUGAAAUGUUUCUUUCUUCUGUAUGUUUGUCGUGUUCUUCGGCAGAUGGUGUGAAUCUGAGCAGAUGGAAGGAGAACAUGUUUAUAUAGACGCAGGAAACACAAACAUCUUGCUGUUUUGCUGACGUUUUCAACCCGCACAUGAUACAGAGAGACACACACACACGACUUCAGUUCGAGUCUUCAACAGUCUGCACAUUAACACAAACACACUUCCCAUCUACCUAUCAAGCAAAUAUAUUUGAUUUGUUCAGAAAUAAAGACACACAAGAGCAUAUUGAUACUUUAUUCAUACUUUAAUGAUCGUCAAAACAAUCUAUGGGUUGCCAAAAUAUUCAGGAGAAUCUAUGUAUACGUACAGUAUCAUGCCGUCCACAUUAUAAUGGAAAACAAAGUCAGACGUCUGGACUUCGCUGGACUCUUCACACAUCAUGUGAUGUGAAACCAGAUUCAGCGUUCACACCGCAGACUGACUUCAGAUUAAACAUUCCAGGAGUUCACUUAUUACAAUAAAUGCUUCUUUACAAAUGUUAUGGUGUUUCUAUAAGCUUUCCACACUAAACACACUCACACACA